rnacentral:rRNA from 1 species
GUGGAUUAGAUACCCUGGUAGUCCAUGCCGUAAACGUUGGGCGCUAGAUGUAGGGACCUUUCCACGGUUUCUGUGUCGUAGCUAACGCAUUAAGCGCCCCGCCUGGGGAGUACGGCCGCAAGGCUAAAACUCAAAGGAAUUGACGGGGGCCCGCACAAGCGGCGGAGCAUGCGGAUUAAUUCGAUGCAACGCGAAGAACCUUACCAAGGCUUGACAUACACCGGAAACGGCCAGAGAUGGUCGCCCCCUUGUGGUCGGUGUACAGGUGGUGCAUGGUCGUCACCAACU